rnacentral:lncRNA from 1 species
CAGAACGAUUUUACCUCCGGUGCGAGUGAUUCAGCCUCGACUUGGCUCCAUGUCGUAUUCUCUCGGUCAGCCCGCAGCUCUCUAGCUUCCAAACCUGCACACACACACACACACGUGAAUGUCUGUUUGGUCAAAAACACACACCAAAUGAGAAAAAGAACGCACCUAGUUCGGGUACGAUGCUCAAAAAAUCCGAACAACCUCAAUUUUGGAUUCUGCUGUCACAGGGUGCUCCUCAGCCACGAUUUCCUUUCUUUCCCUUCCCUUCAGAUUUCUGCCUUUGCGAUUCUCUCUCUUCUUCUCUCGCCUUGCGCGGCUGUUCUUGGCUUUCCUCCUCUUCCCACUUGGCCACACUCUUUUUCUUCCCUUCCUCUCUUUUUUUUCUCCCUUCCCCUCUUCCUUUCCGG